rnacentral:lncRNA from 1 species
GAAUUAGCGACGCUAUGUGAAAAAUUCAGUCUCUAUUUCAGUCACUAAUGAUAUAUAUAUUUUUUUUAAUUAUUAGAAAAGCAAUUUUUGAAUCUAAUUUAAUAUCUCAAACUAUUUCAUACACACUAAGCAAUUAAACUAUGCACACAACAAUAUGAACAUAAUAUAUUUAUAUUUAAGUAAUAAGUAUUACAAAUCAACCAAAACAUAACCAAGACUAAAGUAAGCCACACUACUACACCAUCAUCAGACAUAUCAUCAUCAUCAUCAAUUUAUCAUCUGCCA